GUGGUGACCUGGGAAUCAAUGUGUGAGGUGGUGCUAUGUAGCAGGAACCCCUCUUGCUUUGCAAAUAGUUUUUUGUUUGUUUUCCUUUUUGCCCAAUAGAGCCCUGCUCUACUGACCCUUCAAUGUGCCCGUGUGCCUAAAUAUUCCUGGUCGUGUGAAAAGAACCCAGGUAUUAGCUGAACUAAGGAGCACAAUUCUGCAACAUUUUGGCACCCAAACACGGGGCUUGAGAAAUGAAUGCAAUUGGAGAAACUGGUUGUUUUACCAGGCGUUGAUUGGAAAUGUGUGCUUCCCUUUAAGCAGUCAAGCUCAACUUGCAGAACUGAUGGGAACCCCUUGGGAAAACUGGCCUCAAAUGUUUGUCUACACAGUCCACAUACAGGGUUCUUAACCUGCGACUGACCCUGCUUGUGCCUGUGAACCAACCAACAAUCUCUGGCUGCAGCUCAGAAAGGACAAAAGAGAAUGGAUGAGGGAAACUUCCCAGGGCUUGUCUGGGUAUGCCCACAGUGGACUGGAGCCCAAAAUGCACACUGGAGGAAGUGGAUGGAGCCACGUGGAUGUCAUGCCUUAUGCAGGGGAGGAGCCUGCUCUCUUCAGCUCCUGUGGUAAUGUGGGAAUCGAUCUGUGAGGAAACACUUUCUGAAAAUGUCAGAACUCUUGAAAACAUGGAUGAGGAAAAGCAUAAGUACUGCUUUAUGCUUUUCUUAUGAAUUUUAAAAGAUGUAAUUUAAAGAUGGAGUCUUGUUCUGUGGUCCAGGCUAGAGGGCAGUGGCAUGAUCUCGGCUCACUACAAGCUCUGCCUCCCGGGUUCACGCCAUUCUCCUGCCUCAGCCUCCUGAGUAGCUGGGACUACAGGCGCCCGCCACCACGCCUGGCUAAUUUUUUGUAUAUUUACUAGAGAUGGCUAGUGUUAGCCAAGAUGGUCUCGAUCUCCUGACCUCGUGAUCUGCCCACCUCAGCCUGCCAAAGUGCUGGGAUUACUGGCGUGAGCCACCGUGCCUGGCCAGCAUCCUCUAAUUAUUAUUCAUAGUUUGUGAAUUUAGGCCUACGUGAAUAAUAAUAUAAUAUUUACUAUGAUGUUACUAUCUACCAACCUUAUUUUUCUUUUCUAUAAAAUAGGAGCCAAAAUAAUAUUUAUGUCAUACCUUAUGAAGUUAAAAUAAAAUAUAACGAAUGA
rnacentral:lncRNA from 1 species